GCUUCCGUAGCUCAAUUGGCAGAGCAGGCGACUCUUAAUCGUCUGGUUCCAGGUUCGAGUCCUGGCGGGAGCA
rnacentral:tRNA from 1 species